rnacentral:rRNA from 1 species
GAUGAACGCUGGCGGCAUGCCUAAUACAUGCAAGUCGAGCGAACAGACGAGGAGCUUGCUCCUCUGACGUUAGCGGCGGACGGGUGAGUAACACGUGGAUAACCUACCUAUAAGACUGGGAUAACUUCGGGAAACCGGAGCUAAUACCGGAUAAUAUAUUGCACCGCAUGGUUCAAUAGUGAAAGACGGUUUUGCUGUCACUUAUAGAUGGCUCCGCGCCGCAUUAGCUAGUUGGUAAGGUAACGGCUUACCAAGGCAACGAUGCGUAGCCGACCUGAGAGGGUGCUCGGCCACACGGGAACUGAGACACGGUCCAGACUCCUACGGGAGGCAGCAGUAGGGAAUCUUCCGCAAUGGGCGAAAGCCUGACGGAGCAACGCCGCGUGAGUGAUGAAGGUCUUCGGAUCGUAAAACUCUGUUAUUAGGGAAGAACAAAUGUGUAAGUAACUAUGCACGUCUUGACGGUACCUAAUCAGAAAGCCACGGCUAACUACGUG